AGUCCAUUGAGCUUGCCUUCUUCUUUUGUCUCAAUGAUUUCGUUGAAAGUUAUCCUUGCAGCCAUGGUUAUUGUUCUAUUUUCACUAGGAGUAAGUAGCGAACAGUGCUGUCCAGGAACUUGCCAUGAUUUUCCUAACUGUGAUGCCGCAUGCAAAAGUCUAGGCUAUAAGAUCGGAGAAUGCAUUCCACCUCAAAAUUACUUCUGUUGUUGUGCCGAGCCAACGCUUCAAACCACCUGCAAAGGUCUAGACUUGAAUGAUACCAAAUAGAGUUUUGAUCAAUGAUCAUACAGAAAGCAAUGUGUGUGUGUGUUAUUUUUAAUAAAUAUUAGCUUCGUUACUGGAAAUAAAAAGCAGUACGAAUGUGAGUUAGUAUUUUAA